rnacentral:misc_RNA from 1 species
AAACUGCGAUAAGUAGUGUGAAUUGCAUUUAGUGAAUCAUUGAAUCUUUGAACGCACCCUGCACUCACUGGUAUUCCGGUGAGUACGCCUGUUUCAGUAUCAUUGAAAACACACAAUCAAAACAUUUUCUUUGGUUUGAUUGGCUUUGGGUCUAUCAAAAAGUUUGGCUUGUUUCUUACAAGCCAAGCGGCCUGAAAUAUAUUGUCUGGCUAAUUGCAUCGUUGAUGAUCGCUAUUAGACUUUGGCUUUUUUAAAUGAACUGGAGGUUGAUUAACCAGUUUUAGCUUUAGUCAAAUGGUCAUUGUAAAAAAAAUCUCGAUCUUGGCUAGGUGUUUAUAGCCGAAAAUUUUUUUUUGGCUAUAACCGAAACCAAUAUAAUCACAUUUAGUUAUCGAUCUGAAAUCAGGUGGGACUACCCGCUGAACUUAAGC